rnacentral:rRNA from 1 species
UGGGGGAAAGCCUGAUCCAGCAAUGCCGCGUGAGUGAUGAAGGCCUUAGGGUUGUAAAGCUCUUUUACCAGGGAUGAUAAUGACAGUACCUGGAGAAUAAGCUCCGGCUAACUCCGUGCCAGCAGCCGCGGUAAUACGGAGGGAGCUAGCGUUGUUCGGAAUUACUGGGCGUAAAGCGUACGUAGGCGGUUAUUCAAGUCAGGGGUGAAAGCCUGGAGCUCAACUCCAGAACUGCCUUUGAAACUGGAUAGCUAGAAUCUUGGAGAGGUGAGUGGAAUUCCGAGUGUAGAGGUGAAAUUCGUAGAUAUUCGGAAGAACACCAGUGGCGAAGGCGACUCACUGGACCAGUAUUGACGCUGAGGUACGAAAGCGUGGGGAGCAAACAGGAUUAGAUACCCCUGGUAGA